rnacentral:rRNA from 1 species
CAUGCAAGUCGAGCGGAGAUGAGGUGCUUGCACCUUAUCUUAGCGGCGGACGGGUGAGUAAUGCUUAGGAAUCUGCCUAUUAGUGGGGGACAACAUUCCGAAAGGAAUGCUAAUACCGCAUACGCCCUACGGGGGAAAGCAGGGGAUCUUCGGACCUUGCGCUAAUAGAUGAGCCUAAGUCGGAUUAGCUAGUUGGUGGGGUAAAGGCCUACCAAGGCGACGAUCUGUAGCGGGUCUGAGAGGAUGAUCCGCCACACUGGGACUGAGACACGGCCCAGACUCCUACGGGAGGCAGCAGUGGGGAAUAUUGGACAAUGGGCGGAAGCCUGAUCCAGCCAUGCCGCGUGUGUGAAGAAGGCCUUUUGGUUGUAAAGCACUUUAAGCGAGGAGGAGGCUACUUAGAUUAAUACUCUAGGAUAGUGGACGUUACUCGCAGAAUAAGCACCGGCUAACUCUGUGCCAGCAGCCGCGGUAAUACAGAGGGUGCGAGCGUUAAUCGGAUUUACUGGGCGUAAAGCGUGCGUAGGCGGCUGAUUAAGUCGGAUGUGAAAUCCCUGAGCUUAACUUAGGAAUUGCAUUCGAUACUGGUCAGCUAGAGUAUGGGAGAGGAUGGUAGAAUUCCAGGUGUAGCGGUGAAAUGCGUAGAGAUCUGGAGGAAUACCGAUGGCGAAGGCAGCCAUCUGGCCUAAUACUGACGCUGAGGUACGAAAGCAUGGGGAGCAAACAGGAUUAGAUACCCUGGUAGUCCAUGCCGUAAACGAUGUCUACUAGCCGUUGGGGCCUUUGAGGCUUUAGUGGCGCAGCUAACGCGAUAAGUAGACCGCCUGGGGAGUACGGUCGCAAGACUAAAACUCAAAUGAAUUGACGGGGGCCCGCACAAGCGGUGGAGCAUGUGGUUUAAUUCGAUGCAACGCGAAGAACCUUACCUGGCCUUGACAUAGUAAGAACUUUCCAGAGAUGGAUUGGUGCCUUCGGGAACUUACAUACAGGUGCUGCAUGGCUGUCGUCAGCUCGUGUCGUGAGAUGUUGGGUUAAGUCCC